rnacentral:sRNA from 1 species
UGUAUCGGAAGCCUGAAGAGGAUGAGAACCUCCGGGGGCAAGAGGUUCGACUCGAGCGAAGCGAGAGAACGUUGCGUCAGCAACGGCCCGCAGGGCGAGCCAUCCUCUAUCACCGGCAG